AAUGGCUUUAGUGGCGGACUGGUGAGUAACGCGUGAGCAACCUGCCUACUAGAGGGGAAUAACAGUGAGAAGUCAUUGCUAAUACCGCAUAUGCCAUGAACAUCACAUGAUAGAAAUAGGAAAAAGAGUAAUCUGCUAGUAGAUGGGCUCGCGUCUGAUUAGAUAGUUGGUGGGGUAAAGGCCUACCAAGUCAACGAUCAGUAGCCGGACUGAGGGGUUGAACGGCCACAUUGGGACUGAGAUACGGCCCAGACUCC
rnacentral:rRNA from 1 species